UUUGAUCCUGGCUCAAGAUGAACUCUUGCGGCGCGCCUAACACAUGAAACUCGAACGGUUAAGGCGCCUUCUGGCGCAUAUAAAGUGGCGAACGGCUGAGUAACACGUGGGCAACCUGCCCCUCUCACCGGGACACCCUCGGGAAACCGUGUAUGAUACCGGAUACUCCGCCUCCCCCGCAUGGGGAGGGCGGGAAAAGCCCAGACGGCGAGGGAUGGGCCCGCGGCCUGUUAGCUAGUUGGCGGGGCAGCGGCCCACCAAGGCGAUGAUGGGUAUCCGGGUUGAGAGACCGACCGGCCAGAUUGGGACUGAGACACGGCCCAGACUCCUACGGGAGGCAGCAGUGGGGAAUCUUGCACAAUGGGCGGAAGCCUGAUGCAGCGACGCCGCGUGCGGGACGAAGGCCUUCGGGCUGUAAACCGCUUUCAGCAGGGACGAGGCGAAAGUGACGGUACCUGCAGAAGAAGCCCCGGCUAACUACGUGCCAGCAGCCGCGGUAAUACGUAGGGGGCAAGCGUUAUCCGGAUUCAUUGGGCGUAAAGCGCGCGUAGGCGGCCAGCCUGGUCGGGAGUCAAAUCCGGGGGCUCAACUCCCGUCCGCUCCCGAUACCGGCCGGCUUGAGUCUGGCAGGGGAAGGCGGAAUUCCCGGUGUAGCGGUGGAAUGCGCAGAUAUCGGGAAGAACACCGGUGGCGAAGGCGGCCUUCUGGGCCACGACUGACGCUGAGGCGCGAAAGCUAGGGGAGCGAACAGGAUUAGAUACCCUGGUAGUCCUAGCCGUAAACGAUGAAAGGGAGGUGUGGGGGGAUCGUCCCUCCGCCCCGCAGCCAACGCAUUAAGCGCCCCGCCUGGGGAGUACGGCCGCGAGGUUAAUACUCAAAGGAAUGGACGGCGGACCGCACAAGCAGCUGAUCAUGUGGCUUAAUUCGAAGCAACGCGUAGCACAUUACCAGGGCUUGCCAUCCAGAGGAAGUGGCUGCGACGCCGGGCGCGAGAGGAGCCUGGACUGGUGGCGCAUGGCUGUUGUCAGCUCGUGUCCGACGAUGGUGGGUUAAGUCCCGCAUCGAGCGCAACCCCCCUCGCCGUCUUCCAGCGCUCCGGCCGGGCACUCAUCGCGAGUCCGCCGGCGUCUAGCCGGAGGAAGGCGGGGACGAGGUCACGUCAUCAUGCCCCUUAUGCCCUGGGAUCGCACACGUGCUACAAUGGCCGGCACAGCGGGCUCACGCUGCGCGAGCAGGAGGGAACACCCAAAGCCGGCCCCAGUUCGGACUGGAGGCUGCAACCCGCCUCCACGAAGCCGGAGUUGUUUGUAAUCGCGGAUCAGCACGCUGCGGUGAAUGCGUUCCCGGUCCGUGCACAAACCGCCCGUC
rnacentral:rRNA from 1 species